CGCCGCGGUUAGACGAGUCUUGGCUCUAGUUGACAGCUAACGGCGUAAAGGGUGGUUAAGGAACAUAUAUAAUAAAGUCGAAGACUUUCAUAACUGUUAUAAGUCAAUGAAGGUGCGAAGCUCAACGACAAAAGUGACUUUAUUCCCCCUGAACCCACUAAAGCUAUGACA
rnacentral:rRNA from 1 species